GUGUGUUACAAUUUAACGUUGCGUCGUUUGUUUUCUCUUAUUUUUGAGUGUAAAUUGACAUUGCGAUAAGACGUGUCACGGUACUUGUCUAUCCCAAAUUCAUGUAUUUGGUUUUGAUGUUAUAUUUGUUAUUCUCGUAGGAUUUUGUCUGAUGCUUGGUCCGUUUCUGUGUGUGUUAGUUACAUUGUAGUGUUGUGUCGUUGUUCUCCUCUUAUAUUUAUGCGUUUCCGUCAGUUUUAGUUUGUUACCCCGA
rnacentral:lncRNA from 1 species